rnacentral:tRNA from 1 species
GGUGAAGUGGCUGAGAACUAAGCAAUAAAUUGUAAAUUUAUGAACGAAUUUUAAUUCCUUUACCA